rnacentral:rRNA from 1 species
AGUGAACGCUGGCGGUAGGCCUAACACAUGCAAGUCGAACGGCAGCACAGUAAGAGCUUGCUCUUACGGGUGGCGAGUGGCGGACGGGUGAGGAAUACAUCGGAAUCUACUUUUUCGUGGGGGAUAACGUAGGGAAACUUACGCUAAUACCGCAUACGACCUACGGGUGAAAGCAGGGGAUCUUCGGACCUUGCGCGAUUGAAUGAGCCGAUGUCGGAUUAGCUAGUUGGCGGGGUAAAGGCCCACCAAGGCGACGAUCCGUAGCUGGUCUGAGAGGAUGAUCAGCCACACUGGAACUGGGACACGGUCCAUACUCCUACGGGAGGCAGCAGUGGGGAAUAUUGGACAAUGGGCGCAAGCCUGAUCCAGCCAUACCGCGUGGGUGAAGAAGGCCUUCGGGUUGUAAAGCCCUUUUGUUGGGAAAGAAAAGCAGCAGGUUAAUACCCCGCUGUUCUGACGGUACCCAAAGAAUAAGCACCGGCUAACUUCGUG